AUAAAUUCAGUAGCGGAACUAUUUGUGAACCCAAAUUAUACAAUCCCCUUGAUUGGGUGUCUCAGACCACUAGCUCGAAAGAUCAUAGAUGAAGCUGUGUCUUUGUUAGGCCAGUGCAAUCUGAAUUCCAACCUGGAUGGCACUGUGGUGGAUCCAAGAGAGCUUGUUAAUGGAGAAGAUGCUUAUUUUAUUGACCAUUACAAUCAAAGUGGGAGGGGUUUGAUGCUUCACGAGUUUGCCUGUCUAGCUUUAUGCCGUGCUGUUGAUUUGGAUCAUUCUUUAUUGGGGUCUGUAUCUGCUUACUUCAAAUUUGCAUCACCUCCUUUCGAACGCAUUUGGAGGAAAAAAAUAGUUCCUGAGCAGUUUGAGGUAAUAAGUGAUUGCUUACUUGCUUCACAAGUAUCUUACCGCUUCCUACUUCUGGAACCGGAAUUUUUCUCUGUAAGAUGGGAUUGGUCCUGUUUUCUAGAGCUUGUAAAGGUAACUCUCAAUCUUGAUAUGAGCCAUGGUGCUCAAGAUGAGGAGAUCUCAGACAUAAGAUGGUGUGGAAUACAAAUACUGUCCAUCUCUUUGAAAAUGAGUGACAAAGCAAUUGAAAAUUUUGGUGUUGGAGCUGAAGAAGCAGCAUCAUGUUUAUUGCGCUGGGAAGAGUUCUGUCAAGAUGUAGCUAUGGAGAAGGCUGGCUUGUAUGUUGAAUCAUCUGAACACACAAUAUUGGGUUCUAUCAAUGGAGGAGUUGAUUUCAGCCAACAAAACUUUCCAAGUUCUUGUGACCAUUAUUCACUGGUUUCAUCACAGAUUCAUAAAAUUGAGCCAGUGAUUAAGAGUCGUAGAUUGGUUAACUGGAAUGAUAAAUCAGGAGGCAAUCCAUUUGUAAUGACAUCUACAGUGAAGAAAAGUUUUGAUAUGGUACUCUUAGCAGUGAGUCAAAGGUGGCCUGUUCUUCUGUAUGGCCCUG
rnacentral:misc_RNA from 1 species